CUAAUACCAAAUGUGUUCACUCCUUUUAAGGGGAGUGAGGAAAGGAAGCUUCGGCCUCCGCAUUGAGAUGGGCCCGCGGCCCAUUAGCUUGUUGGUGAGGUAACGGCUCACCAAGGCUUCGAUGGGUAGCUGGUCUGAGAGGACGAUCAGCCACACUGGGACUGAGACACGGCCCAGACUCCUACGGGAGGCAGCAGUGGGGAAUCUUGCACAAUGCGCGAAAGCGUGAUGCAGCAACGCCGCGUGGGGGAAGACGGCCUUCGGGUUGUAAACCCCUUUCAGUUGGGACGAAGCUUCGUCGGUGAAUAGCCGGUUGGAGUGACGAUACCUUCAGAAGAAGCCCCGGCUAACUACGUG
rnacentral:rRNA from 1 species